rnacentral:rRNA from 1 species
GACGAACGCUGGCGGCGUGCUUAACACAUGCAAGUCGAGCGGUAAGGCCCUUCGGGGUACACGAGCGGCGAACGGGUGAGUAACACGUGGGUAACCUGCCCUGUACUCUGGGAUAAGCCUGGGAAACUAGGUCUAAUACCGGAUAUGACCCUUCAAGGCAUCUUGGGGGGUGGAAAGUUCCGGCGGUACGGGAUGGACCCGCGGCCUAUCAGCUUGUUGGUGGGGUGAUGGCCUACCAAGGCGACGACGGGUAGCCGGCCUGAGAGGGUGACCGGCCACACUGGGACUGAGACACGGCCCAGACUCCUACGGGAGGCAGCAGUGGGGAAUAUUGCACAAUGGGCGAAAGCCUGAUGCAGCGACGCCGCGUGAGGGAUGACGGCCUUCGGGUUGUAAACCUCUUUCAGCAGGGACGAAGCGUGAGUGACGGUACCUGCAGAAGAAGCACCGGCUAACUACGUGCCAGCCGCCGCAGUAAAAC